ensembl:lncRNA
GAAAUAUCAUAAUGACAUUCCACAAGCUGGACAAUCCUUCCUACAAGCUGUGUGACAAAACAUGAUGUGGUCAGAUGUUCAUACUGAACUGCAGUUAAAGCACACUUUGCCUUGCACUUCUGUAGUUAUUUUCAUCCAAUGCUAAUGAAGUUUUGCAGAGCUCCUACAGAGCAGAGAUCAGUGAUGGCAGAAUGCAGAGAUCCCUGAAUGCAGUAUGUUGCAACUUCCUGUGAGCCAGCUGGAAGAGCAGAAGUGGGUAGUAGUCCUCCUGCUUUAUCAUACCCAGUAGCCUCUUCCCAGGGUGGAAUGCAUGCCUAAAUUCCACCCUAAAAUGCAUGCCUCUGGCAGGCAGCAAACCUCUCUAGAGAGAUUAUCUGGGCAGCAAAUGGGCAUUUCCAUUCCUCUCAGCAUGGAGUCCCCCUUUACUCAAAC